GCAAGUCGAGGGGUAACAUUUUGUGCUUGCACAAAGAUGACGACCGGCGCACGGGUGCGCACCGCGUAUGAAAUCUACCUUUCACAGGGGAAUAGCCUUUGGAAACGAAGAUUAAUGCCCCAUAGUACCUUAUGUAGCAUUACGAGAUGGUUAAAGACUUCGGUCGGUAGAAGAUGGUCAUGCGUCCCAUUAGUUAGUUGGUGAGGUAACGGCUUACCAAGACAACGAUAGGUAGGGGCCCUGAGAGGGGGAUC
rnacentral:rRNA from 1 species